rnacentral:rRNA from 1 species
AAAUUAAAUGGCUGCAGUAUUUUGACUGUACAAAGGUAGCAUAAUCAUUUGUUUCUUAAUUGGAAACUAGUAUGAAUGGUUGGACAAAAAAUAUGUUUUCUUUAUUUUAUAAAAUGAAAUUAAUUUUUUAGUUAAAAAGCUAAAAUAUAUUUAUAGGACGAGAAGACCCUAUAGAAUUUUAUUUGUAUUUAAUUAUUAAUUAAUUAGUUUAUUUAUUUUAAUAUUUAAAUAUGAAUUACGUUGGGGUGAUGAAAAAAAUUAUAUAACUUUUUUUAUAUUUAACAUUUAUAUAUGUAUUUUUGAUCCUUUUAUAAGGAGAAUAAGAUUAAAUUACCUUAGGGAUAACAGCGUUAUUUUUUUAGAGAGUUCUUAUCGAUAAAAGAGUUUGCGACCUCGAUGUUGGAUUAAAAUAAGUGGUAGAAGUAGAAAGUUACUUACUAGGUCUGUUCGACCUUUAAAUUUUUACAUGAUCUA